rnacentral:rRNA from 1 species
UGGGGAAUAUUGCACAAUGGGCGCAAGCCUGAUGCAGCCAUGCCGCGUGUAUGAAGAAGGCCUUCGGGUUGUAAAGUACUUUCAGCGGGGAGGAAGGGAGUAAAGUUAAUACCUUUGCUCAUUGACGUUACCCGCAGAAGAAGCACCGGCUAACUCCGUGCCAGCAGCCGCGGUAAUACGGAGGGUGCAAGCGUUAAUCGGAAUUACUGGGCGUAAAGCGCACGCAGGCGGUUUGUUAAGUCAGAUGUGAAAUCCCCGGGCUCAACCUGGGAACUGCAUCUGAUACUGGCAAGCUGGAGUCUCGUAGAGGGGGGUAGAAUUCCAGGUGUAGCGGUGAAAUGCUUAGAGAUCUGGAGGAAUACCGGUGGCGAAGGCGGCCCCCUGGACGAAGACUGACGCUCAGAUGCGAAAGCGUGGGGAGCAAACAGG